rnacentral:lncRNA from 1 species
ACGCCGGUAAUCCCAGCACUUUAGGAGGCGAGGUGGGUGGAUUACUUGAGGUCAGGAGUUCGAGACUGGCCUGACCAACAUGGUGAAACCCAGUCUCUACUAAAAAUACAAAAUUAGCCGAGCGUGGUGGCGCACGCCUGUUAUCCCAGCUACUCGGGAGGCUGAGGCAAGAGAAUCGCUUGAACCCGGGAGGCAGAGGUUGCAAUGAUCCGAGAUCGCGCCAUUGUGCUCCGGCCUGGGCGACGAGUGAAACUACGUCUCAAAAAAAAAUUUUUUUUAUGUCUUCUGGCCAUGUUAGCAGAGUAGAAGAGUCCACCGGGCAUACUUAGUAUCUUUGGACAAAUAGGAAUUCAAUGAAAACGUAUUCUUAAAGGCGAAAAAGGUGGAUUUGCUAGUGUUCACACCCUUUCCAGAAAUUCUUGGCUGGUAACCGCGAAACCGACUGGAGCAGGAGCUGGGAGAACUGGAGAAAACUGCUCUAAUCUCACUUGACUCCAGCUAGGAGCUGAUGCUGCAUCGUAAUAACAUUUGCAGAGCGCUUUCACAGGUAUUAGCCCCUUUAACGCUUCAUUUAGCCC